rnacentral:rRNA from 1 species
UCGGGAAUUUUGGGCAAUGGGCGAAAGCCUGACCCAGCAACGCCGCGUGCAGGAAGAAGGCCUUCGGGUUGUAAACUGCUUUUGUACGGAACGAAAAGGCUCUUUCUAAUAAAGGGGGCUCAUGACGGUACCGUAAGAAUAAGCACCGGCUAACUACGUGCCAGCAGCCGCGGUAAUACGUAGGGUGCGAGCGUUAAUCGGAAUUACUGGGCGUAAAGCGUGCGCAGGCGGUUCUAUAAGACAGAUGUGAAAUCCCCGGGCUCAACCUGGGAAUGGCAUUUGUGACUGUAGAGCUAGAGUACGGUAGAGGGGGAUGGAAUUCCGCGUGUAGCAGUGAAAUGCGUAGAUAUGCGGAGGAACACCGAUGGCGAAGGCAAUCCCCUGGACCUGUACUGACGCUCAUGCACGAAAGCGUGGGGAGCAAACAGGAUUAGAUACCCACGUAGUCCCUGAGCGGGCUGGCAAGGCGCAU